rnacentral:lncRNA from 1 species
UUGGAAUAUCUUGUCUGUGCGUUUACGCAUGACCUGGUUCCGUUAUUUAUUAUUCUAUUGGAAUAACCUGUCUGUGCGGUCUAUCGCAUGCCUGGUGAUUUAUUUUGUUAUUCCAUUCUUUAUUAUACUCAGUUGGUUAAAGUUUUGACUUCUAUACUCCAUGAAAUUAGUGGAAUAUCCUUGAUAUUUGCGCUUCAUCCAG